rnacentral:lncRNA from 1 species
GGUAGUAUCACAUAGCAGCGCCAAGUAGACUACUUAUAUAGACACGUGUUUGUUACUGUGCGGAAGUUCGUUUAUAAAUUUUAGAUAUGUCCACCAGGAAAAGAGCACAGUGGACCGAAGAGGCCAUUGAAGCGGCAAUGAAUGCCGUACAAAAGCGUCAAGGACAUAUUUGUAUGUCCUCGAUGUAUGUAAAUGUGUGAUAUGUGUGCUUAAUGCAUUGACACAUUUUUGUUUUUAAUAUGAAUAAAAGUUUCUUUCACUAAA